rnacentral:misc_RNA from 1 species
UCCUGGUCUUGACAUGCACGGAUGCUGCCGGUGAAAGCCGGUUAGUUGCCUUCGGGUGAAACGUGCACAGGUGCUGCAUGGCUGUCGUCAGCUCGUGUCGUGAGAUGUCGGGUUAAGUCCCUUAACGAGCGAAACCCUUGUCUCUAGUUGCCAGCGGAUCAUGCCGGGGACUCUAGAGAGACUGCCGGUGUUAAACCGGAGGAAGGUGGGGAUGACGUCGU